AUGAUAAGGAGGAGGAUGGGGGCACUGCACGUCGGCGAGCCGCGGGUCAGCUUCCAGCAGCAGGUCGGCAAGAACGGCGGGGGCCACGGCGCCGUCGUGGAGGAGAUACAUGGGCUCAUCCGCGUGUACAAGGACGGGCACGUGGAGCGCCUCCCGGCGAUCCCCGACGUGCCCUGCACGUGGGGCUCGACGGCAGCCGCGAGCGGCGUCCUCGCGCGCGACGUGGCGGUCGACCGCGCCACGGGGGUGUGGGCGCGCCUGUACGCGCCGGCCUCCGCGGCGGGGAAGGUUCCCGUGGUGGUGUACUUCCACGGCGGCGGGUUCAGCGUCGGCUCCGCCGCGUGGAGCUGCUACCACGAGUUCGUCGCCCAGCUCCCCGCGCGGGCGGGCUGCGCCGUGAUGUCCGUCGACUACCGCCUCGCGCCGGAGAACCGCCUGCCCGCCGCGUUCGACGACGGGCUCACGGCGCUGCGGUGGCUGCGGCAGCAGGCGAGCAGAAACACCGCCUCCGACGAGGUCUCGUGGUGGCGCAGCCGGUGCAGGUUCGACCGCGUGUUCCUCAUGGGCGACAGCGCGGGCGCCGCCAUCGCGUUCCACGUCGCGGCGCGGGUCGGGCAGGGCCAGCUGGGCGCUCUGGCCCCGCUCUCGGUCAAGGGGGCCGUACUGAUCCAGCCCUUCUUCGGCGGGGAGGCCCGCACGGCGUCGGAGAAGAGCAUGCCGCAGCCGCCAGGGUCGGCGCUGAACCUCUCCACCUCCGACAGCUACUGGCGCAUGGCGCUACCGGCCGGGGCCAGCCGCGACCACCCCUGGUGCAACCCCUUGGCCCGCGGCGCGCCCCGGCUGGAGACGCUGGCGCUGCCGCCCGUGCUGGUGUGCAUCUCCGAGGCGGACAUCCUGCGCGACCGGAACCUGGAGCUGUGCAGGGCGCUGCGCAAGGCCGGCAAGAGCGUGGAGCAGGCGACGUACGGCGGCGUGGGGCACGCCUUCCAGGUGCUCCACAACUGCCACCUGUCCCAGCCGCGCACGCAGGAGAUGCUCGCGCACAUCCGGGCCUUCGUCGGCGCCAGGUCCAGCUGA
rnacentral:rRNA from 1 species